UAAACGCUCGUAGUUGGAUCACGCAGCAGUGCUCAGUAAUCUGCUGCCUGACUUCGACCAAUGAAACCCACUUCUGUGGCCUUUCGGUAGCUGUCGGCAGUAGAUGCCAACGCUGAGCACUGUUAGUUGCACGUGAGAUGAAUUGUUGGCCUUUAUUGAGCCGGUAUUCUCGUCUUGCGGAGUGUGCCUUGAAUAAAACAGAGUGCUUAAAGCAGGUCAUUGCCUGAAUGUUAUAGCAUGGAACGAACAAUCGUGUAUAUGUAUGCAUCCUUGAAUGGUGAUGAGCCUUAGGUUUGUUGUUACUCAGGAUGCAUACGGCACCCACCAAAAUAUGGCUGUUGGUUCCAUAUACGGUGAUGAUUAAAAGGAGCGGUUGGGGGCAUCGGUAUUUGGCCGCGAGAGGUGAAAUUCUUAGACCGGCCAAGGACUAACAAAUGCAAAGGCACUUGUCUAGACCGUUUCCAUUAAUCAAGAACGAAAGUGGUGAGGUUCGAAGACGAUCAUAUACCGUCCUAGUUCCCACUGUAAACUAUGCCGACCUGGGAUCAAUUUUAAUAGAUGUUACAAGCUCUAGAUUGAUCCCCCUUGGGAAACCUGAAGUUUUUCGGUUACCGUGAGAGUAUGGUCUCAAGGCUGAAACUUAAAGGAAAUGGUGAGGAAGGGCUCCACCAUAGGGUGGAGCCNGC
rnacentral:rRNA from 1 species